rnacentral:piRNA from 1 species
UUCAAAGCAGAAAGACACGGGAAAGAGGC